CCUACGGGAGGCAGCAGUAGGGAAUAUUGGACAAUGGGCGAAAGCCUGAUCCAGCAAUGCCACGUGAGUGAUGAAGGCCUUAGGGUUGUAAAGCUCUUUUACCCGAGAUGAUAAUGACAGUAUCGGGAGAAUAAGCUCCGGCUAACUCCGUGCCAGCAGCCGCGGUAAUAAUCACUA
rnacentral:rRNA from 1 species